AUAGAUAGUUUGGCUGGUGCACACUAUGGCCCAAGCUGUUCAGAUGCAUUGCUACAGAUUGUCACAGCUACAGAAGACCAGCCUGUGCACACCUAGCCUCAGAUCCUGGUGGAGGGAAUGGGCUGUAGCUCAGUGAGCUCUCAUGCCCCACUCUCCCCUCUUGCUACCCCAAGCUAAAAUCUGUAGAUCACUUCUGCCUUUGCAGCAAAACCACAUGAAACCCAUUCUGUGAAGAUGUCUGUGAUUUCACAGCUGCCCCUGGGACCGAAGAAAUAUACAGAGCCUAUGAACACAGGCAGUGUCCACCCUUCCCACCACACUUUAGGAAGCCAGUUUGCUUGCCUGUCUCUCCUGAAGUGUGGGUUCAGUCCCAUGCCCACCUACCAAUGGCAAGCCCAGUGACAGGGACCUUCCUCAGCAUAUGCAGCAGAAGAUGGCUCAGGCCUUCAAGAGGUCACAAACCUGCUUGUCCCACUUUCUGCAGCACAGCAGCUGGCUACACAGUGAGAUGACUCUUCAGCACAGAAGAGUAGACUUCGCACAAUUUUUGGAAGGAGGAGACAUACAAACCUACUUUCUGGAAAGGAUUCAUUGCCCUACUUUGAGGAAGCAGAGACAGAGCUCUGAAGCCCUGAGGAUAUGACAUAAACACUCAUAUUCUCUGUUUUUCUUACUGGAUUUCUCUAAAGGACUUUCCAAUCAUUAUCCUGACUGUAAGACCUCAUCUGAAGCUUGGGAACCAAACACAUUAAAAAAACCAAAACAAAACAACCCACAGCUUUUAUGUACAUCAGUAUUCCAUUGAUCUACCUAAAACUGUGGGCCCUAGCACAUGGCUUUGAUAGCUGUGUGUGAGAGCUGUAACAUGUUUAGUUUAAAGAAGGGGCAUUCUGCAGCUUUCACACUCCUAUGCAUUCAAAACAUGCUUGAGCAAUGCAAGAUCCUGAGACUUUAAUACAUUAUGCAUUCUUAUCUGCCUCUAUUUCAAGACCUUGAAGGUCCACUCACAUCUCACUUUCAAGUGCUCAGCUUCAGUCACAUAGACACAGCCUGCUUGUGAUUCUGUGGUUGGGCAGACACUGGUCAGAUUAGUCCCAUCUAUCAGCAGCACAAAUUAAAUCCCUAAUGCUGCUGUGGCUGACACAAAAGAGCAAAACAUUAUAUUGGACUUUUCUGAUAAUAAAAUUUCUCCUUAAAAAUCCUGUGGCACUUGCAUAACACACUUGUUUCUGUGUCAGAAAUCUUACCAAGUUAGCACACCUAAAAUACGUAUUUGUUCAAAAUUCAGUGCCUGUGUGCAGGUAAGACAACAGGAGGCAGGUUUUAGACUCAGAAAGCAUCAUAGAUAUCUUCUUUUUCCCCAGUAAUUUCCCUUUCUUAGCCCUACAGUAUGUAAAAACACAAACAGCUAAUACCUAAUCAAACAAUUUCUCUUGCUUUUUGUGAAGAAAGAUGGAAAAUGUUACUAUUAUUUCUAUUUUUAAA